CAAAAAGGUUCAAACAAGGCUUCAGGGCAUGGAAGCACGACUAGAAACGGAUCAUCCGAUUUAAAACAAUAGCAAGUUAGUUGGGACUGGUAACUAACCUGCAGAAUGAAGAACAGCGUAGGUGGGGCUGUCGAUGUUCCUGCAGCUGCCACGUGUUGAGGUAGAGCAAGAUAAGGCAGGAAACCUUGAAGCUGGUCGUGCCGGCAGGAAUGCAGCCACUCUAAUCCAGUUGAAGUGGCAUCGCUGGACGCUUCCGAGGCUGUAGGUCCAGUGGCGAAUGCACCGGCUAAUGGCACUUGCGAACAGUUUCCGCAGCCAGCAGCACCAAAGAUGAACUGCAGAAUGAAGAACAGCGUAGGUGAGCCUCCCAUCGCUAUGAUGCUUCCAUGCCCAUUGAGCGGCGACUGCGCAGCACUCGGUUUUAAACG